AGACCGAUAGCGAACAAGUAGAGUGAUCGAAAGAUGAAAAGCACUUUGAAAAGAGAGUUAAACAGCACGUGAAAUUGUUGAAAGGGAAGCGCUUGCGACCAGACUCGCCCGCGGGGUUCAGCCGGCAUUCGUGCCGGUGUACUUCCCCGUGGGCGGGCCAGCGUCGGUUUGGGCGGCCGGUCAAAGGCCCCUGGAAUGUAGUACCCUCCGGGGUACCUUAUAGCCAGGGGUGCAAUCGCGACCAGCCUGGACCGAGGAACGCGCUUCGGCACGGAC
rnacentral:rRNA from 1 species